rnacentral:rRNA from 1 species
CUGAAUAACUGAGCAAACCGCUUCGAUCUUGUAUCGGCGGUAUAUCUUUCAAGUGUCUGCCUUAUCAACUUUCGAUGGUAGUUUAUGUGCCUACCAUGGUUGUAACGGGUAACGGAGAAUUAGGGUUCGACUCCGGAGAGGGAGCCUGAGAAACGGCUACCACUUCUAAGGAAGGCAGCAGGCGCGCAAAUUACCCACUCUCGGCACGAGGAGGUAGUGACGAAAAAUAACGAGACGGGUCUCUCUGAGACGCGUCAUCGGAAUGAGAACAAUUUACACCUUUUAACGAGGACCUAACGGAGGGCAAGUCUGGUGCCAGCAGCCGCGGUAAUUCCAGCUCCGUCAGUGUAUAUCUAUGCUGCUGCGGUUAAAAAG